rnacentral:piRNA from 1 species
UGGUGUGAAUCGCUUUUCAAUCUAGAGGC